AUAAAAAUACUAGAGUUGGAAACUGUUUUGAUUGCGUUCAUUGUACUUACCUUUUGGAAACAUAGCUAAGUAAAAGUGUUGCCAUUCUGGAAUUAGACAAUAGAUCAUUUAAUACUGAAUCUUGGAUCUGAGAUUGGCCCUGGUCAGUUGCUUUUAAUGAAGGUGUAAAUACUACAUAACAGUAUGAAUUGUUCAGUACUGGAUAACAAACCUGGGAAACACUACACCAAAGGGAAAUUUUUCUUCCUGACCCCAGCUGGUGAUCAGUUUGUGCCUGGAAGUUGGACAGCCUUUGUAAUCUAAUCCUAGUUGGCAUAACUGCAGAUGCUAAUUUUAGGUCUAUAAAUAGCAAAUCUUUUUUUAAAUGUUGUUUUUGGAGAAAGGAGUUUGAAUUUUUUUUUCCAAAAAGCCAUUUACUGUAUGAUUUCUACAGGUUAAUUAUAUAUUGCAUGAAAAAGCAUCUCCUUGGAGCCUUCCUAAAUUUGUUACCUUUUAAUUUCAUUUCAUAUGACAAAAAAGGGGAAAUGAGAGCACCUAGCUGACCAUCCAAGUUAUCAUUUAUUAUUUUGAAUAUUGCCACCUUUAGUUUUUUUCACCCUCAUUCAUUUACUCAUUUCCUAGAGAAGCAAAACAGCCUUAGUUUUUAUUCAUUUCUCAUCUUGGAGAAGGGUUUCUUUGCUUCUUAUUUCAUUUCUUCUUUAGAAUAUCUUUCCAGUCAUUUCAUAUUACUUCUCUUUCCUCAUUCACUCUUUAUUCUUCUAGAUCUUCCUAGUGUAUGUUAUUCUAUCACCUACCUCCAUGCUUCUGUACUUGUAGAUCCUCAUGCUUAUAAGCACUCGUUACUCACUUCCACCUUGUGGAAUUUUGUUUUCUUUAUUUAUAUCAUGUCUCAGUGUCACUUCUUUCAUUACAUGAGAUCUUUUCUGAUCUUAAUCUCUACAUAUUGAAAUUACUUUAUAUAAACUUAAUUGUCACUUAUUUGUAUUCAAGCUUUCUUCCAAUAACACAUAGGCUGCUUGAGUGUAGAGACUAUUUAAUUUAUGUCUUUGAAUCUCCAGCACCCAACAUAGCACUUUGCACACAGUAAUUAUGUAAUAAAUGUUUUUUGAAAUGACUUGAAUAACCACUAUUUGUUUGCAUCCCAAUUUAUUGCCUGGAUAUAGACCUUUACUAAUUAUGACAUUUCUUUCCUCAGAUAAAAUGACCUAAUUGGGCUCUCUGUUUUAUGGACAGAACAAACCAUAAUUUCUGUAUCCUUUCUUAAUUCUCUCUAAUUUUUUUAUUACAAGUACCAAAGCUUGUUCUAAAUUUGAAAUUGUUUAAACAGUCAUAUCUUCCUCUCACCCAAGGGUGACAAAAAAGGAACUCUUUACUCUGAAAGAUCCAGUAUAUUAACUGAAUUCUGGGGAAGAAGUAAGUGAAAUGUGUAUUUGUCAAAGAUUAGGACACAGAAAUUAAGGCAAAGUGGCUGGUUCAUAUAGUCCUUGUUCAGCCUAGAUGCUUUUUGUUUGACUCUUCAUGACUCCAUUUGAUUUAUUUGCUUUUUGUAAAGAUUUUGAGGUCUUUGCCAUUUCCUUUUCCAGGUUACUUUACAGAUAAGGAAACUGAGGCAAAUAGGAUUAAAUGACUUGCUCAGGGUCACACAACCAACAAGUGUCUGAGACUGGAUUUGAACUCAGGAAAAUGAAUCUUCCUGAUUGCAAGCACUUGUUAUCCACUGUUUCACCUAGCUGUCUAGUGUGGUCCUUAGACAUUCAUUAAAGAGCAUCUGGCAAGAAAGAAGGUUGCUAAGGCAGACUGUUUUAAAGUAGUGGGUUAACAGGCAGGAGAUCUGAAUUCCAGUCUUCUCUCUAUCUGUCUUCUAUCUAUCUGACUGAGCAAGUCACUUUAUCUCUCUAAUACUUAGUUUCCUCACAGAGGUAAUGUAAAUUUAUUUCAUGGGAUUGGAAUCAGGAAGAUCUGGGUUUGCAUCUCACCUACCACUUACAAGCACUGUGACUCUGAACUAGUUACUUAACCUCUCUGAGGUUAUAUAAAUGAAUUUAGGUUAUAUAAGUGAAUUUAAGUUAUAGAAGUGGAAAUACCACUUAUAAUAUAUAAUAGCAUUGCUGUAGGCUUAAAUGAGAUUAAAAGGUAUCUUAAAUACUUUUUAAAGGUAAAGUCAUGAAGAAAUGCCAACUUAUUUAUUGUCAUUAUUAUUAUUUAUCUUAAUUCCAAAUUAAAAAUUUUUUUUUGGUUACAUUUUAAGUUUUUCUCUCCUUUCCUACUCCAUACUAUAGAAUGCCACCAUUUUGACACAAACUUAUAAAUAUAUGUAAAACUACAGUAUAUAUACUUUAAAAAAUUGCUGUUGAAUUUGUUGAGUCAUCACUAUUAAGAAUCAUUUUUGCCUUCCUAAUUCAACUUGCAACUAUAUCUUGUCCCAUCACCGAAGAGGAGAAGAAUAGAGAAGGGGAAGAAAUAAAAGUCUAACAUCUAUGCAGGUUUAUCCUUGAAUGUGGAAGGAGAAAGAUUCUUUGCAACUUUGAACCAAGAUGGUACCCAAUCUAUCACCCUUAGCAAUUGGACUUAUCAUAUGGAAGACCAGCUUACACAUCUCCCAUUUUGUUAUUGUUUACCACACCGGUCCCAAAAGUUAGACCAGCAGAAUGAUCUCUAGAUGUGAGGAGAAGGCCCUUCUCUCAACACCCUGUCCUACCUGACUGUAUUAGAGCCACUGCUGGAACAUGGAGACUCUCUUAUCUUCACCUGCAGCUCCCACCUAGUCAUCCAUGUUAUCUUCUGAUGUUCCUGAAAACUUUGCUGCUUUAAGAAAUGUAAUUUGGUUCACUGAAUGAAAAACAUAAUCAUAGCAAGACUUAACACUUUAGAUAGAUAGCACUUUUCUUUUAUGAGGAAUUUAAAAACAUUACCUAAUUAGUUUAACUUUCCUUUAAAGGGGUCAAUUUUUGAUUGCAAUUUGCCACAAAGUAUGCUGGGUGUUCCUUCUUUGAACACAUUAUUCCUUUAGCAGGUGUUCAAUUGAAAAACCAUUGCUAUAUUUGCUAAAGGUUUUUUUCUUUCUUUUUUAAUGGAGAAAACAUAUCUUCCCAAUAUACGCUGUCAAAUCCCAUUGUGUUGCUUUGUUCUUCAUUGCCAUUGUAUAUACUUCCAAGUAGAAUCAGGAAAGAGAUAUUCCACUUAGUUCCCUAAUACCUUGGAAGUAAAUCAGGCCACUCUGGAAACUGCUUUCAUUCUCUUGGGACAUUAGGCUGUUAUGAGGAAGCAUUUGUUUGUUUCAUAACAUCCUAAUGACUGAAGAUUUUUAGUUAGAUUUCAAAGAUACAAAAUUAAUGAUGUGUAAGUUAUUCUAUUUUGGGAACAAAUAUAUUCAGCAUUUGGUGAGGUAGAAUCAUUGGUAAUACUAUAGAAAACUAAGCACACACCAUAAAUUUAAGAAAUAAAUGCUUUCUUGAGAAUCAGGAAAUUUAGGUUAUAAUCUUGACUUAUAUGACUUAUAUGACCUUGGACGUCCUUUUUCACCUUCAUUUUCUUCAUUUGUAAAAUAAAUAAAUUGUUCAUUAGACAGGUUGCACAUGAAUUUUAUGUAACUCAUGUAGGAAUGCUUUCAAGUAGGUUUUACAUGGGGGCAUAAUCUUCUUUUUCUUUCUAAAUUAUGCCCCAUUGAAGAAGUAUUGUUAAAUAAUGGGAACCACUGACUUUGAAGUGAGGGUACCUGAAUUUGAGUUGUGGUUCUCAAAAUCUUAUCAGUUAUAUGACUAUAGUUAAAUUACUGGUAUAAGGUCUCAGCUUUCCCAUACGUAAAAUGGGAAUAAUAAAUGCUUUGCAAAUUUGAAGUUCUAUUAUCAAUAAGUAAUGUACCAUGUGAAUGCAAGUCCUCAGGUUUUAGCCAUUUCUGGAAGUCUGAUCAAGGUGAAUAUCAUUUCAAAUGAAUAGAGCUACUCUAGCACUCAUUCUAGCAUUCUCAGGGAGUGCCAUGCUAUACCUGAUGCAUCACUCUCUCUAACAAUGGCUUUUAGAAGAAUUUCAUUGAAUGCCUCUCAGGUUGAGUGAUUCUGUCCUGUCCAAGACUUAAGUGGAGAUUCCAUUCCGGAGGGUAUAAGAGAGGCUUUUAUACUUCUGAAACUUGAUAGAAUAUUUUUUGAACCUCAUAUUGAUGGAAGGAGAAGAACUGGUAAAUUGUUUUGGCUUUAAAAUGGUUAUAAUUAAAUCCAGUCAUUCACAUUUUUCAAAUGCAUUAAAUUUAUGAGGAAACAAAGCAGAAGUCCUCUUCUAUUAAGCCUCUAACUUCCCUCACCUUGGCUAAAGAUCUCUCACCAUAAAGAGAAAAACCAAAUGUAUUUCUCCCUCUGGGGAGUAUGUCUCUUCAGCACAGCUCUGGAUUCUAGAGAAAAUAAUUAGAUUGCUAGUCACAGACUUAACAAUUCACUUCAGGCAAUAGGACGCAGUGAACAACAAACACCACCUCUUUGGUGUUAAAUUAGAUGGUGGUUAUAAUUGAAAUCCCUACCUUUUGAUUAGAAUUUCAUUGGUUUGAAGUUUUAUCUCUUCCCUUUAUUUGAUUUCUUGUGAAAUCAUUUUAAUUAUGAAAUCAACAAACAUUGACAUUUUAUAUGUAUAGAAUAAAAAGGAUUAUAUGUGAAACUGUACAUUUCUAUUAGUUUAAAAAGCAUGUAUUAAAUUUAAUAAAGAAUAAACAAAAAUGCCCUGCUUGUCUGUGA